rnacentral:rRNA from 1 species
AUGAACGCUGGCGGCGUGCCUAAUACAUGCAAGUCGAACGCAUAGCGAAAGGUGCUUGCACCUUUCAAGUGAGUGGCGAACGGGUGAGUAACACGUGGACAACCUGCCUCAAGGCUGGGGAUAACAUUUGGAAACAGAUGCUAAUACCGAAUAAAACUUAGUGUCGUAGGACACAAAGUUAAAAGGCGCUUCGGCGUCACCUAGAGAUGGAUCCGCGGUGCAUUAGUGAGUUGGUGGGGUAAAGGCCUACCAAGACAAUGAUGCAUAGCCGAGUUGAGAGACUGAUCGGCCACAUUGGGACUGAGACACGGCCCAAACUCCUACGGGAGGCUGCAGUAGGGAAUCUUCCACAAUGGGCGAAAGCCUGAUGGAGCAACGCCGCGUGUGUGAUGAAGGCUUUCGGGUCGUAAAGCACUGUUGUAUGGGAAGAACAGCUAGAAUAGGAAAUGAUUUUAGUUUGACGGUACCAUACCAGAAAGGGACGGCUAAAUACGUG